GUGAUGUCACCGCUCUCUUGUGAAUGGAUAGAUUGCACUCUCAGUGAUGACACCGGCCUUUAGUGAAUAGAUAGGUUGCAUCCUCAGUGAUGUCACCGGUCUCUAGUGAAUGGAUAGGCUGCAUUCUCAGUGAUGUCACUGGUCUCUAGUGAAUGGAUAGUCUGCAUUCU